rnacentral:misc_RNA from 1 species
GAUGAAGAACGUAGCGAAAUGCGAUAAGUAAUGUGAAUUGCAGAAUUCAGUGAAUCAUCGAAUCUUUGAACGCACCUUGCGCCCUUUGGACAUUCCGAAGGGCAUGCCUGUUUGAGUAUCAUGAACACCUCAACUCUCACGGCUUGUCCGUGAUGAGCUUGGACUUUGGGGGUCUUGCCGGCCUGUGGUCGGCUCCUCUCAAAUGGAUCAGCUUGCCAGUGUUUGGUGGCAUCACAGGUGUGAUAACUAUCUGCGCUUGUGGUUUUCCAUCAGAUAACCUUCAGUGAUAUGGAGGUUCGCUGGAGCUCACAAAUGUCUCUCCUUAGUGAGGACAGCUCUUUGAACGUUUGAUCUCAAAUCAGGUAGGACUACCCGCUGAACUUAAGCAUAUCAAUAAGCGGAGCA